rnacentral:misc_RNA from 1 species
GAUGAAGAACGUAGCGAAAUGCGAAAAGUAAUGUGAAUUGCAGAAUUCAGUGAACCAUCGAAUCUUUGAACGCGCAUUGCGUCCGCUGGAACUCCGGCGGGCACGCCUGUCCGAGCGUCAUUUCAACCCUCAGGCCCCCCUUCGCGGGCGGGCCUGGUGUUGGGGCCCGGCCGCUACCCUGCGGCCGUCCCCUAAAUCCAGUGGCGGCCUCGCCGUGAUCCCUUGCGUAGUAAUGCACCUCGAACCGGAGAGCGCCGGGGCCACGCCGUAAAACCCCCAAUUUUCAAUGGUUGACCUCGGAUCAGGUGGGAAUACCCGCUGAACUUAAGCAUAUCAAUAAGCGGAGGA